rnacentral:rRNA from 1 species
CCUACGGGAGGCAGCAGUGAGGAAUAUUGGUCAAUGGGCGCGAGCCUGAACCAGCCAAGUCGCGUGAGGGAAGACGGUCCUAUGGAUUGUAAACCUCUUUUGUCGGGGAGCAAAAGACGCCACGCGUGGCGUUCCGAGAGUACCCGAAGAAAAAGCAUCGGCUAACUCCGUGCCAGCAGCCGCGGUAAUACGGAGGAUGCGAGCGUUAUCCGGAUUUAUUGGGUUGAAAGGGUGCGCAGGCGGAAGAGCAAGUCAGCGGUAAAAUUGAGAGGCUCAACCUCGUCGAGCCGUUGAAACUGGUUGUCUUGAGUGAGCGAGAAGUAUGCGGAAUGCGUGGUGUAGCGGUGAAAUGCAUAGAUAUCACGCAGAACUCCGAGUGCGAAGGCAGCAUACCGGCGCUCAACUGACGCUCAUGCACGAAAGCGUGGGUAUCGAACAGGAUUAGAUACCCCUGUAGUC